ACAGGCUUCCUGGAAAGGUCCCUUCACUCCUGAAAAGACAGCCCUUCUCCUGAGGAGGUGACCUGAUCUAUCCCAAUAUGUUUUCUGCGAUGACUUAGAAUCAUUGUGCAACCAGGAGGAGAAGCCAACAUGCCGAUCUCAGCUGAACAGGAAGUUGGGUGUGGACCAGAUUACUGCACUCUCCAGUGCUCUCGGUCUGGGACUCCCCAUUCACAGCGCAAGUGUUGUUCCUACAGUGCUGCAGUUGUGUUUAAAGAGAGAGAGAAUGAGAUGUUAAAUACCAUGAUGCGGAAACUGGUGAGAUGCAUUUUAAGUAGAAAAAUCCAAAAUAGUGUAAUUUUUGAAAAACAAAAAUAUGCAUCUAUUGUUUAUAAUGACAAAA
rnacentral:lncRNA from 1 species